GUGGGGAAUCUUCCGCAAUGGACGAAAGUCUGACGGAGCAACGCCGCGUGAGUGAAGAAGGUUUUCGGAUCGUAAAGCUCUUUCGUUAGGGACGAACGUGCUCUUUGUGAAUAAUGAGGAGUAAUGACGGUACCUAAAUAAGAAGCCACGGCUAACUACGUGCCAGCAGCCGCGGUAAUACGUAGGUGGCAAGCGUUGUCCGGAAUUCUUGGGCGUAAAGCGCGCGCAGGCGGGCUAUCAAGUCUGUCUUAAAAGUGCGAGGCUCAACCUCGUGAUGGGACAGAAACUGGUAUUCUUGAGUGUCGGAGAGGAAAGUGGAAUUCCAAGUGUAGCGGUGAAAUGCGUAGAGAUUUGUAAGAACACCAGUGGCGAAGGCGACUUUCUGGACGAUGUCUGACGCUGAGGCGCGAAAGCUAGGGGAGCGAACGGGAUUAGAAACCCCGGUAGUCC
rnacentral:rRNA from 1 species